rnacentral:rRNA from 1 species
AUUGAACGCUGGCGGCAGGCCUAACACAUGCAAGUCGAGCGGAGCGGCGGACGGGUGAGUAAUGCCUAGGAAUCUGCCUGGUAGUGGGGGAUAACGUCCGGAAACGGGCGCUAAUACCGCAUACUAUCAGAUGAGCCUCGGUCGGAGUAGCUAGUUGGUGGGGUAAAGGCCUAGAAAGGCGACGAUCCGUAACUGGUCUGCGAGGAUGAUCAGUCACACUGAAACUGAGACACGGUCCAGACUCCGACGAGAGGCAGCAGUGGGGAAUAUUUGACAAGGGGCGAAAGCCUGGUCCAGCCAUGCCGCGUGUGUGAAGAAGGCUUUCGGGUUGAAAAGCACUUUCAGCGGGGAGGCGUUACCCGCAGAGGCAGCACCGGCCAACUCCGUGCCAGCAGCCGCGGUAAUAC